ensembl:snRNA Gm25968 U6 spliceosomal RNA
GUGCUCCAUUCAGUAGCUCAUCUACUAAAAUUGUAAGGAUGCAGAAAUUAGCAUGACCUCUGUGUGAGGAUGGCAUGCGAAUUCGGGAAGUGUUCCAUAUUUUU